UAAAAUUUAGUUUAUAAAAAAUUUAUUUUUUACAAAAAUAAGAAAUAUAAUUUAUAAUUUUAA
rnacentral:tRNA from 1 species